UCACAGCUGCAGAACAGAUCAAGAAGAGACUUAAUUUUGAGGACCCAGUUCUCUCAAGACUGUCUUGGAGCCAGCCUACGUUCUGAUUAAGAAAGGAGUACGUGAACCUAGUCUGGUUCCUCUGGCAGUUCAUCUUCCGCACAUAAUUGCUGGAGAUGAUGCCACACUGCAACAACUGGAUGACGAAUGGAGGAAGCUUGAGUUCGAGGAUCUCUCAGAAAACAUCAAGAGUGGGGACAAGGAAAUGGAAAAAGUAAAAGAUAAAGCUCCUGCUGGUUUGUUUUGGGGUGAGAUAAGACUGAUUCUUAAUAGUGAGGGAUGUUCAAAAUACAAGCGCGUGUCUGACUUUGCACUAGCAUGCCUUUCAUUGCCCCAUGCAAAUGCAGAUUGCGAAAGAUGUUUCUCGGACAUAAAUAGAAUGAAAACUAAAGACAGAAACAAACUCGAAACAGAAUCAGUAAGAGACAUUCUUUUAGCAAAACAAUCUGUAACAAGCAAAGGAAACCGUAACUGCACCUCAUCCCAGCCAUCCAGAAGCAUGAUAAGGAGCUUCACUUCCCAAGCACUAUAUUCAAUUGGUGUAGAAAGUGACCCAAACUCUCCAGAAAUCCACGGUGACUCAGCCAUUGACCUAUAAAAUGGUUGAGUGAGGCACCAUUUUAGUCACCAAGAGGAGGAGGAGGAAGAGGCACCAUUACAGUCACCAAGAAGAGGAGGAAGAGGCACCAUUACAGUCACCAAGAAAAGGAAGAGGAGGAGGAGGAAGAGGCACCAUUACAGCCACCAAGAGGAGGAGGAGGAAGAGGCACCAUUACAGUCACCAAGAGGAGGAGAAGGAAGAGGCACCAUUACAGUCACCAAGAGGAGGAGAAGGAAGAGGCACCAUUACAGUCACCAAGAGGAGGAGAAGGAAGAGGCACCAUUACAGUCACCAAGAGGAGGAGAAGGAAGAGGCACCAUUACAGCCACCAAGAGGAGGAGAAGGAAGAGGCACCAUUACAGUCACCAAGAGGAGGAGAAGAAAGAGGCACCAUUAGUCACCAAGAGGAGGAGAAGGAAGAGGCACCAUUACAGUCACCAAGAGGAGGAGAAGGAAGAGGCACCAUUACAGCCACCAAGAGGAGGAGAAGGAAGAGGCACCAUUACAGUCACCAAGAGAAGGAAGAGGAGGAGGAGGAAGAGGCACCAUUAUUCACCAAGAAGCAGCAGCACCAGUGUCAGUAUUGGAGAGAAGAAAAAAGACACAAAAGCAGCAGGCAGUCACAACACAACACAGCACAGCACAGCACAGCACAGCACAGCACACAAAGGUUGACUGUUGCUGCAAGACUGAGUGAGUGAGUCUUCAUAGCACCAAGAAGAGGAAGAGAUGCAAUGACAUUUGCCAAUAGGAAGGAGGUACUAAGUGAUGAAGAGAAGGCACCUAGAGAGGAAAGAGAGACAGCGUUGCACCAACCAUAAAAGACAGAUUAUAACACUGACCAAGAGGAGGAAGAGGCAUCAGAGUAAGCACCAGAGGCACCAUGCAGGAUGAAAUGCAGCAGCACCAGACAGUCAUUGCAGAAUAACUUGCACCAAGGUUACAUACAAGCACUGGAGGGACACAGCAAGAUUAUUUUGUAGGUGGUGGUCCAACUCCCCUGUCCCUCGAUCCUCUGGAAGAGCUUGUAGCUGACAUCUUGGAGAUCAAGAAUGGCCAAAUAGGUUGCUACAACAAGCACCAAAUAUUUGCUGCAGCCAACAACACACCAGCUCCUGCUGGGAAGAGUGAAAGAGAUUGAGUCCCACAUCCCAAAGGGCAUGGAUACCCCCAGUUAAGAACCCGUCGGAUUCUUAAGACUCAUUUAAAGGGAGAUGUCAGCCAGGUGUACUAGGUAGGGAUGUGUACUGUGCAAGUUUGUUUAGCCAGGUAUAAAAGUAGAUAUGGGGUACAGGUUCAUUUACAAGUUCAAUUGUGUGUACAUCAUUGUCAAAAUAUGAUGGUGUUAGUAUAGGGUUUUCAUCAGAAAAGGCAGGCAUUGCCUGGGGGUCAAACCUGGGAAUUGCUGAACAGAUGUGCUACCCGUUACACCACCACUAUCACCUAGUGACAACCAUCACAGGGAGCGAAUUUUUCUCCUGUCAGUUCUUGUAUCACUCAGAGUAUGACAGGUAAACAGAAUUUUUCCUCUGCCAAGUCCUGUGCAAUGCUGUGUAGAUCACUCCCAUGCAUGUCCUUCACACCCAGAUUAGUCACAUCUAGAUUUAUUUUAAUUGAUUUUGUGGUACGUAUGAACCAUUGGAUGCGAAAUAAACAGAUGUAGGCAUCUGCUGCAAAUUGAUUGGCGAGACAACAGAUGUGUGCAUCUUCCUGUCUGACUGCUACUCCCACUGGCACCAAACCCUAACAGAUUGCAGCAGUCUUCACUACAGUUAUGACAUGGUGAUCCAGAAUACCAAUAUGGAUGGAUGGCUGGUGGUGGUGGGUGGUACCUGUCUUACUUCAAGGGGGAGCAGCAUCUCGGCUCCUUUGCUUCAUGGCACCUAGAAUAACAGUUAUUUUUCAUUGCUUGUGCACGUCAUUCUUAAAUACUUGAAGAACAGCAGUGUGGUGCUUGCUAAAAUGGCCUGAGGGAAAGGACCACUCUUCGCUGCACCACAAGUUGGCUACACUGCAUACUUCCCUUGAAGCCACAGCAGAACCAAAAGAGCUGGCCUCUCUCGGCUGCACACCUGAAACAAGAGGGGACAUUAUAGACCACCUGUACAAAUCACCAAGUGUUAUUCCAUUGCUGCAGCAUGUGUGACAACUACUAUCCAUUCUUGUCCCUGUCUUGCAGUCUUACUAGGACACUUCAUUCCUCAUCCCUAUUAGAAUUAUUCAUUCAUCCCUGUCUUGCAUCUAACUAAACACUUUUCAACACUUUCAUCAUUCUUCUUCUUGUUAUAAUAAGCAUGCUGCCUUACUUGUUUAUUCCUCAUCCCUAUUAUGACUAUUCAUUCAUCCCUGUCUAGAUGCUAAACACUUUUCAUCAUCCUUCUUUUGUUAUAAUAAGCAUGCUGCCUUACUCUCUUCAUAUCUAUUAUCUAAACUACUUUAAAAAUCUUGACAUAUCCAAAUUAUUUUAACAUUCCCUGCUCUGCUCCAACUCACUCCCCUAACUAAUGAUCUCAUUCCCUGUCAACUCCACUACUGUCAUUCAUCCCAUCCUCCUCUACAUUCAGCAAUCCCACUAACAAAUACCUGAAUUUCCUUAUCUCUUCAUUACAGGAACCUUCUCUAACACACAUACCAUAUCCCAACCUUACAUUACCUACAUUACUUCCUAUAAGUCUCCUCCUGUAAUAUCCCAUACCAUCUCUCUUCUUCAUAGUACCCAAAUUUAACAUGUUAGACCAACCCUAUCACUUUACAGCAUUCUCUAACAUCAUACCAUCUCUCUCUACCCUACCGCAUCCCCAGCUAACAUCCAAGACAAAGUACAGUCCUGUAAACUUUAAGCUACAAUAUAUAUAUACCGAAUCAAAUAAAUGAAAAGUGAAAAUAA